UUGCUUUCCCCGUCCCUGGCAUUGUUUCUUGUCUGAUCUCCAUCGUAUCAGUUUUUCGUGUUCUUUUGGUUUCCUUUCUUUGAUUUUUGUUUGCCUUUAAAUUUGAAUUUUGGGAGAAAAAUGGGUUUUUGGACUUUUUUUUGGUGUUUUUAUUGUUAAUUCUUUCAAUCUUGUUAAGUUUCUUUGGGCCCGGAAUCCUGACAGAUAGAUGCGUGACGCUUCGUUUAAUUUGAUCUUAUACUGAUGUUUUAGCAGAUUAAGAGCUCCGAUGACGGUCAAGUCGGUUUUUUAUUCUCUGCAGGAGGUUUUUCCGCAGAUAGAUCUCCGCAUCCUAAAGGCUGUUGCCAUUGAACAUCCAAGGGAUGUUGAUGCAGCUGUCGAAUUUGUUCUUUCAGAAGUUUUACCAUGUAUAAGUGAAACAAAGGAAACAUCUUAUACUCUUAAUAAUACUCAUGACGCAGAACAUUCACUUGCCAAUGAACUGCAUGAUGCAUAGUGUCUAUAGGAUUGGGUGUGGAGUUUGAGCGAUGGAGUCAUUUGAUAUGAGCUGCAGGAUGCAUAGUCUCUAUAGGAUUGGGUGUGGAGUUUGAGCGAUGGAGUCACUAGUUAGUUUAUUUUUUGAUACCAAGGAACAUUGGAAAAUUUUGUAAUUGAAUAAAUUUGAUUAUUUGAUCAUGGUGAAUUUAUUUAGUUGGACUAUUUGGCUAUUAUCUAGCGAUUUUAAUUUUUGAAGUUAAAUUGGAAAAUUUGUUCAUCAUAGGCCUUACAUGAUUUUUAGGGCAUCACUCUAGGGUUCACACAGCCAUAUCAUGUGACCAACCUGGGUGACGAGUUUGGGGCAUGACAUAUGGAACAAACACGUGCACGGGUUAUAUGCUUUGCUUUUCUUUUUGAUAGCUAAUGCUAGAUUACAUGUUUGAUGUGUAGCUGGGAUGAACAAGCAGGAUAGUUUGUUGGGACAUCAUGAAGCCAAAGAGAAUACAAGUCUGCUUCUAGAACCAUCGAUUGUAUGUGGAAGUGCUAUUUCUGAUAGUUACACACAUGCAGCAAUACUGAGUCAUCAUGCAUGGGGGAAGCAGUAAGCUAAGGUUCACAUGUUGAACACGUAAGUUGGCCGAAUGAGUCAAGUUUUUCGCUAAAUCAGCAUGAAGCUCUUGACAUUAAUGCAAGUCUAUCUUUACAAGCAAUACUGAUGGAAGAUGUCCUUGAUUGUAUUGUUGAUCAUGCAACUAAUGGUUCUUGUACAAUGCCAGAUUCCUUGGGUUAAAUAGCGUUGGACACGCUUCACUUUCCAAUUUCCUUAUCUGUGAUCAACUCUGCAUUGCAGAACAUGGGGAGGCAGUCAAUCUGGUAGAGCAAAUAGUUGAACUAUGUCAGGGUCCUCAGAAAAGGCAAAAAUGAGUGUGUUUCUCUUGAUGGCAAUAUCCAAGAAUUGUAUGGGAAUGAACCUGUUGGUACGUAACAUCUAUUUUUAUGCAUGCUUUGAAGUUUUCAUCCUGAAUCCUUGAAGAAAACUCAGAUAUAGUGGAACUUGGUGCUGCUGUAGAGAAGAAUAUAAAUGGUCAUGAAAGUGUAUAAAAAACAGUUAUUGAGAUGUGUAAUAGAGGCUUCAAAUAUCCAGGAUUUGCGCGAUCUAGAAGUUAAUCACUCUGUUUUAGAUUCUGAUGCCCUUUCUGGUUAUCUCUCAUCAUCUAUUCAUUAAAACAGUCUGCAUUCUGCUAAGUGUGAAAUUGGACCUGUGAAUGCUAAGAAUGCUACAUCUGAAUUUGAAGAACAGAAGUCUAGGUGUCUCACUGAGAAUGAUACUUGAGUUGUUGGGCUUGGAGAAUAAGAUGGUUUCUGUUGGUGAUGGUUGUUUCAAUGACAGCUACUCAUAAUCAGACCAUGCUGUUGAUACCGAUUUUCUUGAAGAUUUUAUCCUCGAUGCUUAAAACAGCAAGUUGUGACUUGCAAUCUAAUGUAGUUCAGUUCUACAAAUACUUCAAUUCAGUUUUACUUUUGCUUUACCAUCAUCAGACUCUUGUAAUGUGAAACAAGUAUUAUGAUAUAUCAAGCAUUAAGUAAAUAUGAUUUUCUUUU